AUUGAAGUUAAAGGGCUUUUAGAAAUUGUUAAUUCUAAAGAAUUCGUAAAAAAUAUAAAUGCAGAAAAUUUAUAUAUAAGAACAAAAAAUGAAAGUAUGAAUAUUAAGAACAAGCGUUCAUUCAGUGUCCAAAUAAAGCAAUACCAAAAAAAGCAGUCACAAAAAAGUCAGUUUCCAACUUAAUAGUUCAAAAGACUGCUCCCAAACCGAAUCUUAAACAAAUUUUAAGAACACCUAAAUUAGAAUAUGUUCCAAAAAAAGCUUCUUUGUUAACAAAACCACUCGAAAAAAUAUCACACCCAUUAAACAAAAGUCGUUUUAACAAAACUGAAAAUCUGGAUAAAAAACUAGAUCCUACUAAAGCAAAAAAUGUUAUCAAAUAUUCACUGAAAAAAACGAAUGUUCCGAAAGAUUCAAAAAUUAAAUUAAAAGAACCAGUUAUAGCAAAGUUUGGACUGUCUUCAAAAACUGGUAAUGAAGAAACCCCCCCAAACAUUAAUACUUCGGAAGCAAUAAAUAAGACUGCUAUAAGAUUAUCUAAUAAAAGUGUUCCUAUAUUAAAUAAGCAUAAAGGUAUCAAGAGCAAAGCAGAACCACCUAAAAGCAAUUUAAAAAAUACAUUGCGUUAUUUAAAAAUUGCUACAGAAAUGAAAAAUAAGGAAACUGAAUCUGCGAAAGUAAAAACAGAUAUAAUAAAUGACAAUGAAAAUAAAAAGGAUAUUCCAUCAAAUAGUAGCAAACCUACAAUGAAAAAAAAAACUUUAUCAAAAAAUUCCACAAUUAAAGGUACAUCUACUAAAGCAUCUAAAGGAUUAUUAGAUCCGAAAUCAAGAAAUUUAUCAAAAAAACCAGCUUCGAAAAUAUCAAGCGAAUUAAAACUUAAAGACAAAGAAAAAAAAAAAAAAAUAUUACCUAAAAAUGCGAAAGAUAAUAAAGAACGAGUGUCGUCUAAGCAAUUGGCAGAAAAUGACACCAGUAAAUCAAAUGACAAAAAAACGAAUACUGAUACAAUCGCAAGUGAAGAUUAUGAAACAAAUGAUAAAAAAGUUGAAGAAGUUGUUGAAGAUGUAGUUGAUGAUAAAGAACAAAAGGAAAUAA
rnacentral:lncRNA from 1 species